rnacentral:rRNA from 1 species
GUGGGUAACCUGCCUGUAAGACUGGGAUAACUCCGGGAAACCGGGGCUAAUACCGGAUGGUUGUUUGAACCGCAUGGUUCAAACAUAAAAGGUGGCUUCGGCUACCACUUACAGAUGGACCCGCGGCGCAUUAGCUAGUUGGUGAGGUAACGGCUCACCAAGGCAACGAUGCGUAGCCGACCUGAGAGGGUGAUCGGCCACACUGGGACUGAGACACGGCCCAGACUCCUACGGGAGGCAGCAGUAGGGAAUCUUCCGCAAUGGACGAAAGUCUGACGGAGCAACGCCGCGUGAGUGAUGAAGGUUUUCGGAUCGUAAAGCUCUGUUGUUAGGGAAGAACAAGUACCGUUCGAAUAGGGCGGUACCUUGACGGUACCUAACCAGAAAGCCACGGCUAACUACGUGCCAGCAGCCGCGGUAAUACGUAGGUGGCAAGCGUUGUCCGGAAUUAUUGGGCGUAAAGGGCUCGCAGGCGGUUUCUUAAGUCUGAUGUGAAAGCCCCCGGCUCAACCGGGGAGGGUCAUUGGAAACUGGGGAACUUGAGUGCAGAAGAGGAGAGUGGAAUUCCACGUGUAGCGGUGAAAUGCGUAGAGAUGUGGAGGAACACCAGUGGCGAAGGCGACUCUCUGGUCUGUAACUGACGCUGAGGAGCGAAAGCGUGGGGAGCGAACAGGAUUAGAUACCCUGGUAGUCCACGCCGUAAACGAUGAGUGCUAAGUGUUACGGGGUUUCCGCCCCUUAGUGCUGCAGCUAACGCAUUAAGCACUCCGCCUGGGGAGUACGGUCGCAAGACUGAACUCAAAGGAAUUGACGGGGGCCCGCACAAGCGGUGGAGCAUGU